rnacentral:lncRNA from 1 species
GCUAUUUUUAAGGAUCAGUUGGGCAUAGGGCAUCUUGCUAAAUACAGGGGAAGAAAACAAUGACAAAGCAGUUUAGUGGGCAAAGGAUAAUGAAUUUAUUUCACCUCAUAAUUUUGCCAAAGGCUAAUAUUUUGUGUACAUCCAUAGCAAAUAGGUUACAUGUUUUGGGUUUCCAAAUUAGAAAAUUUAAAACAUUAUAAUCUUUAGUAUGUAUUUCUUGAGGGCUUUGUCUAUCUGAUUCAUCAGUCUUUCAAAAUGUGUUAGAGUUUCCUGAUGAAGUUGGAGCUGCCCAUUAUUUAGCAUACUAUAUCGACAUGGUGCAUGGGAGGACUGGACCCCUAUUUAUAGAAAAUUAACUUAAUAAUGUAUGUGUUAUUUCUAUAAUGGUGCAGGUUAAGAUAUAUGUACUUACUUUAUCAACUUUAAAAGUCUAAAUAGGCCUAGAGGCACAAGUAUUUAGCAAGUUC